GAUGAACGCUGGCGGCGUGCCUAAUACAUGCAAGUCGAGCGAACAGACGAGGAGCUUGCUCCUCUGACGUUAGCGGCGGACGGGUGAGUAACACGUGGAUAACCUACCUAUAAGACUGGGAUAACUUCGGGAAACCGGAGCUAAUACCGGAUAAUAUAUUGAACCGCAUGGUUCAAUGGUGAAAGACGGUUUUGCUGUCACUUAUAGAUGGAUCCGCGCCGCAUUAGCUAGUUGGUAAGGUAACGGCUUACCAAGGCAACGAUGCGUAGCCGACCUGAGAGGGGGAUCGGCCACACUGGAACUGAGACACGGUCCAGACUCCUACGGGAGGCAGCAGUAGGGAAUCUUCCGCAAUGGGCGAAAGCCUGACGGAGCAACGCCGCGUGAGUGAUGAAGGUCUUCGGAUCGUAAAACUCUGUUAUUAGGGAAGAACAAAUGUGUAAGUAACUAUGCACGUCUUGACGGUACCUAAUCAGAAAGCCACGGCUAACUACGUG
rnacentral:rRNA from 1 species